GUUUAGUAGCUAGAAGAGCGCCAAGUUUGCUAAGCAUAAAAUCUCUUAAAGAAAGUUUUGGAUAUAUGUUAUUCAUUUACUUGGAACUAACUUGAAGGGCUCUUCUUUCUUCUUCUCUCCGACUAUAUAUAUAUACGUAAAACAAUAAUAAAUUGAAGGAAACCUGUUGAAAAAUAAAAAUAUUUUGCUGCUUGAACAAGUAGUGAUGUUUUCUCGGCAUUACUGAUAACUCCAUCAUCCUUCAAUAAUAAUAAAUAUCACCAUACUCAAAAAUACAAUGAUACGAACCUGCUUUUUAAUUUAGUGUGUUCAUAGCAAGAAAAAGUGUGGCGGACCAGUGAUUUACAACAAUUAAGUACACCCUCAAAACAAAGAGCUUUUCAUUUAUAUAUCGGAAAAACAGAGAAUCAUCAUUCAUUGGCAGGAGUUCUACUGAGGGGAGAAAUCUGUCAUUUAACUCUAAAUUCAAAGAAACUCUUUGUAAAUGAUUGUCUAAAAUUAAAUGAUCCUGGUUCAUGCCAUUCCUUAUAUCGGAAGAAUUCAGCAUGGCAGGACUCCCUUCUUCAGUACCUGAUUCACAUAUUCUUGAGCCUAAUAUCCAGUCUCAUCCAUCUUGUUUGUACGGUCCUCCUCCAGAGCAAGAUUCCUCCAUUUUUGUAAAAACUGAAUACGACCAAGAUUCUACUCCUAUGGUGACUGGGCCUGUUCCUCCUCCACCACCCGCGUCACAUCAACCUUCUCCCUUAUCAUCUGGCCCCAACUCUGGAGGUUCAGGGGUAUCAUCAUCCGUCACUCCACCUGGUGGUCUCUGGUCUAAAAUACAACGACUACCUGAGGAACUCUUUCGUCAACUUCAAACGGUGUAUGGGGAUCACUUUCCUUUAGAGGCAAGGCAUCACUUGGCUUCUUGGAUAGAGUCUUCAUUUCGUGAGGACUUAGAAGUAGGGAAUCCACAGCAUGAGGAGCAUGCUCGAAGAUUGGUUUUAUCUAUUAUUCAUCAGUUGGAAAUCAAAUCCUCGGAAAGUUCUGAUUUUUUUGCUCAAAAAUACAUUUGAACAAAUCGUAGAAAAUAUUAAAAGACGAUAUAUUCAUAAUCCAAUUUAUCUGUAUCAAAUUAUACGACAAUGCCUACAUACUGAAAUGACGCUCAUCCAAAAAGCCGAAAUGAGAGAUGGAGGAGUUGUUCAUGGGGGGAGUGGGGGUGGAAAUGGAGGAAGCUCAACGUCUCAACACCCGGGUCUCCCUAACAAUAAUAACAACAAUGAAGCCAUGUAUCAAGUCCAACAUCAGCUGAAUACCCUCAAAAAACUCACUCAAGACACAGGAAUUGAAAUAGAAAAAAUACGACAGAUGCAAGAGCAUCAUUCCAUCAAUUAUUAUAAACAUCAUCAACUUUCAGUUCAACUAGAUAGUGGUCGUUUCCCAGAGUCGAGUCAAGAGUAUGUCCAAUGGAAGGAAUGGAGAGACAAGGUUGCAGAGGAACUGCGACAGAGCUUUAAUAAUUUAAAACUACAAAUGUCAAAUCUAGCAAAUCAUCACUUGGACAUGAUUAAGCAAUUGAAAGAACUUCAAUAUCGAAUCAUUGAUCAAGAACUCAACAAAUGGAAAAGGGAUCAGCAACUCUCUGGUAAUGGAGCACAUUUUGGCAAUAAUUUAGACACGAUACAAAAAUGGUGUGAGGAUUUCGCUGAGAUCUUGUGGAUGAAUCGUCAACAAAUCCGUCAAUUGGAAAUGAUUCAGGAAGGUCUGAAUUUACCAAGCCAUGAUUUAACUAUGAACAUUUUGCCAGAACUGAGUGAGGGUCUUGCUCUUCUCAUUGACUCUCUUGUCAAAAGUUCCUUCAUUAUAGAAAAACAGCCCCCUCAGGUGCUUAAAACAAAUACUCGAUUUUCAGCCACAGUUCGAUUACUUGUAGGAACUAAAAUGAACAUUCAUAUGUCACCUCCUCUUGUGACUGUUUCCAUUAUAUCUGAGGCUCAAGCCAACUCUCUUCUUCGUGCUGGAACGAGUAAAAAAUCCAAGUCUGAAUAUUCCUCUGGAGAAAUUUUAAAUAAUAAGCAAACUAUGGAAUAUCAUCAAGUAGCAACUGGACAGUUAACUGUGAGUUUCCGUAAUAUGAGUCUUAAGAAAAUCAAGCGAGCUGAGAAAAAAGGAACUGAGAGUGUCAUGGAUGAAAAAUUUGCACUUCUAUUUUGGUCAGAGUUUUCCAUCGGUAAUGGAGAGUUUCCUUUCCAAGUUUGCGCUCCAUCUUUGCCAGUUGUUGUCAUUGUUCAUGGCAAUCAAGAGCCACAUGCUUGGGCUACUAUAUUAUGGGACAAUGCUUUUGCAGAAUGGGGUCGACAACCUUUUAUUGUACCUGACAAGGUUCCGUGGUGUCAAGUGGCUACUACGCUCAACAUGAAAUUCAAGUCAUCUUGUGGUCGUAUUUUAACGGAAGAUAAUCUCAGAUUAUUAGCAAGUAAAUGCUUCAGAAGUCAUGGUUACAAUCAGGACUUUAGUAAUGCACUAGUCAGCUGGUCCCAAUUUUGUAAGGAACCUCUACCAGAUAGGAGUUUCACUUUCUGGGAUUGGUUUCAUGCCAUCAUGAAGCUUACCAAAGAAGAUUUACGUGGUCUAUGGAUCGAUGGGGCUCUCAUGGGAUUCAUAUCUCGCCAUGAAGCCGAAGAUUUUUUACAUAAAAGCCAAAAUGGAACGUUUCUCAUACGAUUUUCUGACUCAGAGCUGGGUGGAGUAACUGUUGCUUGGAUCACUGUGAAUGAACAAACUGGAGACAGAGAGGUUGCAAUGCUUCAACCAUUUACGAGAAAGGAUUUAAUCAUUCGUUCCUUGGCUGAUAGAAUAUCUGAUUGUGUUCAAAUGCUAUAUUUAUAUCCAAAUAUCCCCAAAAACCAAGCAUUUGGAAAGUACUACACCAUUCAAAACGAAGCAGCACCUCGAAUAAAUUUAAGGAACAAUGGAUAUGUACCCCAUCAUCUCGUCAAUGUAAUACAUGGAUUUCAAAAAACCUUUCAGAAUCUCCUCCAGCAAUCGGACUAUGGAUAGUAGUAUGCCCAACUCUCCAACACCAUUGAACCCAUCAUCUUCGUCAUCUUCUUAUAAUGGUGAGCCCCAAACUCCUUCUCCGAAAUUUCAUUAUUCAAACUCCAACAAUGGAUCAUCAUCGCAUGAAUCUAAUUCGAUGGAUGAUGAGGAUAUGAGGAGUCUACAUGUUGGAUAAAGAAAAGCCUAAGUGGUCUAAGAAGAGGUCCAAAGAAUUAAAAUAAUUUAUAAAACUAUCAUUAUUAACUUGUAUGUUUUCGAAUCAAUUUAUGGCAUGUUUUAUAAUCAUAUCCAUAUGUCUUAUGUAUUUAUAAUAAUAAUAUUGUUGAUGGUUUUUUGGAUAUUGGAAGGUAGAAGGAGUUGUAUUUAUUUGUUUUAUUAUUGACUAUCACAUUUUGCAUGCUUUAUUUAAAGUGAUGUUCUUUUUUAUGUUUUUUAAAUCUUUUUUGGAUUACGUAUGCCUGUUGGUUUGUGCAUAUUAAUUAAUAAUAAUUAUAACCACAAAUCAAUGUGACGAUCUCAUCGUAAUUAACUGGAGGAUAAAAAUACAUAUCUAUUCACAAUUUUUUAUUUAUAGUUAGUUAGUUGUACCACACGGCAAUUCGUGUAUAUCAAAUUG
rnacentral:misc_RNA from 1 species